AGCAGUAGCCGCGGUAAUACGAAGGGUGCAAGCGUUAAUCGGAAUUACUGGGCGUAAAGCGUGCGUAGGCGGUUUGUUAAGUCUGCUGUGAAAUCCCCGGGCUCAACCUGGGAAUGGCAGUGGAUACUGGCAAGCUAGAGUGUGUCAGAGGAUGGUGGAAUUCCCGGUGUAGCGGUGAAAUGCGUAGAGAUCGGGAGGAACAUCAGUGGCGAAGGCGGCCAUCUGGGACAACACUGACGCUGAGGCACGAAAGCGUGGGGAGCAAACAGGAUUAGAUACCCCCGUAGUCCCUGUCUCUUAUAA
rnacentral:rRNA from 1 species